rnacentral:lncRNA from 1 species
AUAUAGUGAAUUGCAAAUAUAUCUCUAUAAAGUUCAACUUUCAUAUGUUGUGUCUAUAAAAAUUUCUAAUAUUUUCAAAUAUAUCCAUCUGAUUUGUUACCGUUAUUUAUGUUUUAAGUGAAAUAUCAAUUUUACCAUCACAAAUAUAUUCCUCCAAAAAUCAUAAAAGUAUAAUAUAAAUAGGUAAAAAUGUCAAAAAUUAAUCAGGGUUAAGUAUUUAACCCAUGGUUAACUAAAAUUUUCUAAUGGAUUCUAACGGCAGGAAUAUAUUUGAAAACAUCAGGACUUUUGCAGGAAUAAUAUAUGAAAGUUAAACUUUGUACGGAUAUAUUUGCCAUUUAUUAUGUUUGCAGGAACCUGUAUGAAGUUAAUCCUAAAAUGAAUCACAGCUGCACCACUAAACUAUAUAAUCUGCAGGCGACUAA